rnacentral:sRNA from 2 species
AGAUUAUUAAUACUUAGUAAUUAAAGAGGAGCGGGGGAACCAAAUUCGGGGCUUAUCUUUAAGCAGAUCUUAAAGAAGAACAUCUCUCAGUUCUAGCCCGUCAGCUAACCUCGUCGGCAUUGGGAGGAGACCAA